rnacentral:rRNA from 1 species
UGCAGUCGAAGGUAGUAGAGUACAAUACUUUGCCUAGAGUGACGUACGGGUGCGUAACACGUAUGCAACCUACCCUUUACAGGCGGAUAGCUCGGGGAAACCCGAAUUAACCCGCCGUAGUAUAAUUGAAUGGCAUCAUUUGAUUAUUAAAACUCCGGUGGUAAAGGAUGGGCAUGCGUCUGAUUAGUUAGUUGGUAGUGUAACGGACUACCAAGACGAUGAUCAGUAGGGGAACUGAGAGGUUGAUCCCCCACACUGGCACUGAGAUACGGGCCAGACUCCUACGGGAGGCAGCAGUAGGGAAUAUUGGUCAAUGGGCGCAAGCCUGAACCAGCCAUGUCGCGUGCAGGAUGACUGCCCUAUGGGUUGUAAACUGCUUUUGUAUGGGAAGAAAAAGAGGUACGUGUACUUCUCUGCCGGUACCAUACGAAUAAGGAUCGGCUAACUCCGUGCCAGCAGCCGCGGUAAUACGGAGGAUCCAAGCGUUAUCCGGAUUUAUCGGGUUUAAAGGGUGCGUAGGCGGGCAGGUAAGUCAGUGGUGAAAUCUCCGAGCUUAACUCGGAAACUGCCGUUGAUACUAUUUGUCUUGAAUACUGUGGAGGUAAGCGGAAUAUGUCAUGUAGCGGUGAAAUGCUUAGAUAUGACAUAGAACACCAAUUGCGAAGGCAGCUUACUACACAGCGAUUGACGCUGAGGCACGAAAGCGUGGGGAUCAAACAGGAUUAGAUACCCUGGUAGAAUCACUAGUGAAUUC